AUGGCCUGGACUCCUCUCCUGCUCCUACUUCUGACUCACUGCACAGGGUCCAACUCUCAAGCUGUGGUGACUCAGGAGCCUUCACUGACCGUGAACCCAGGAGGAACCGUCAUUCUCACCUGUGGUUCCAGCACUGGCACAGUCACUAAUGGUCACUACCCAUACUGGUUCCAGCAGAAACCUGGUCAAGCUCCCAGGACAAUAAUUUAUAAUACAAACCAAAAACAUUCCUGGACCCCUGCUCGGUUCUCAGGCUUCCUCCUUGGAAACAAAGCUGCCCUCACACUCUCAGGGGCCGAGGCAGAGGAUGAGGCUGAUUACUACUGUUGGCAGUUUCCUAGUCCUUGCUUUCCUUGUAAAUCUGAGUCACUAGCAAUCAUUGUCUUUGGUCUUGACCUCAAUUAG